AAGAUGGCGGCGGCGGCCGGGCGGUACUUCUGCACGGCGGGCCGCGGGCUGGAGCCCUUCCUGGCGCGGGAGGUGCGGGCUCGGCUCGGCGCUACGGAGGUGGACUGCGUCUCAGGAAAGGUGUUCUUCAGCACAGAGGCGGCCCCGGGCGAGCUGAGGAAGCUCAAGUCUGGAGAGCGACUGUUCUUGCUGCUCAAGAAGCACACCCCACUUGCGGUUUCUAGAAAUAAAGGGAAAAUGCUGCAUGACAUUAAAAGCCUUUUCAUUGAGGAGCCAAAGUAUUGGCAGGACGUUAUCUCUACUUGGAGAAACCUUCAUGGGUGUGAGGGUAAAAAAGAUGAUGUCUUUCAAGAAAACCCAUCACCUCUCAAGAGAAAAUCAGAAGAGACAGAUACAGCAACUAAAAGGCAGAAAACAGAACAAGCGAGAGAGACUGUGCCUGAGGAAUGUCAGGCAGAAGCUGGAGAGGGGUGCGUGGUGCCAGAGGACUGCCAGACUGAAAGCGAGACUUCAUUAGAAGACUCUGCCAAAAACAGUGGAGAGAAGGCUAUUGUGAAUGAGCAGCUUAACUUCAGUUUCAGAGUUUCUUGUCGUUGUAGUGGAGCAAUUGCCAAAGUACUUACUUCACAGGAGAUCGGAAGAGCUGUUGGUGUGGCGCUCAUGAAGCAGUGUGGUUGGCGGGCUGAUCUGCGGGACCCUGAUCUAGAGAUCUUUCUACAUCUUAAUGAUGUUCACUCUGUAGUAGGGAUUCCUCUUUUCAGGCUUCCUUUGGCAAACAGAGAGUACAUCAAGACAGCAGGACUGCGGUCAACAAUUGCAUGGGCCAUGGCAUCUCUGGCUGAAAUCAGUGCUGGUGCCUUUGUGCUGGAUCCCAUGUGUGGGCUGGGAACGAUACUGCUGGAAGCUGCCAAAGAGUGGCCUGAAGCCUGUUACUGGGGUGCCGAUGUAAGUGAUUCACAGUUAGAGGGUGCAGAUGUGAAUAUUAGGACUGCAGGCCUGAUGGAUAAGAUUGAGUUACUUAAAGCUUCUGUGAAAGCGGUGCCAUUGCCUUCAGAAAGCUUCGACGCUGUGAUUUCAGAUAUUCCGUUUGGGAAGAAGUUCAAGAUCACAAAAGACAUACAGAUCCUACCAGAUAUUCUCCAGGAAAUGGAGAGGGUACUUCGUGUUGGAGGGACUGUUGUAUUGCUGCUGAGCCACGAUCUCCACAAGCGCAUGGAUAGUAUUACCAAGUGUGCUGAACAUGACUCUCCUGAUGCCAUUUCUGAUGGCACAAGUGAAACCACCACUGCAAAAGCCCUGCAUGCUGAUCGAAAUUCUUCCUCCUUGGUGAAUGGUGUUGAAGAAUUCUUUCUCAGCAGCAGACAGACAUGUUUUGAAUCUCUGGUUCUAGAUGGUGUCUAUGGGGUUAGUCUUGGAAAGACAGAUGCUUUCAUAUACAAAUAUAAGAAGAUCUCUACUGCUGGGAAUCAGUAGCUUUCUUGCACUGUGCCUAAGUGAACUUGACCCCUAGUACACUUGAAAGGCAGCAUGGCAGUGAUCUGCUGGAACCCUACUAAUCCAAACAAACCCUGUGCAUUUGUUAGCUCACCUCAUUUCCUUUGGAUGUCCUACGGUCAUACAUUUCCCUCUGUUUUUUAGGAGAGGUGGAAGACGCCUACUAGUGUUUCAAAUGGUUUUAUUGUAAAAUAUUGUAAUGAGAGGCCAUUGUUUAGGGAAAGAGUCUUGGUAUGGGGAGGGCUUUCUUUGGGAGAGAAAGUCUUCAUUUGCAGAACUGGAAAAAAAAAAAAGUGGUGAUAUUAAAUAUAAAUGGAUUUUCAGCAGUAUUCAGUGUUUUUUUAGGAAGCACAUCUUGCCUGAAGAAGUCUCCAGCUCUUUUUGAGGGCUGGAUUUAUGUUUUUACUUGCAGUCUUGUAUUUUAUUUUAAAGCUCAUACUGAUGAGUUUGGAAUGUCACUGUUGAGAUCUCUUGGAGUGGAAAAUAAACUCUGUUUGUAUUAAUUCUUUGCAGCAUUUGCACAUGUCAAACAGGUGUGCUGUAGCUUUUUGGAUUGGAGAGGCUUCUUUCUGUCAAAAAUAAUGCUUUUCCUCACUUGAUAAUACUACUCCAAGGGCACAAUGUGGAAUAUGGGAAAACUUGCCAAGUGGAUGAACAAUUCGAAGUGACUUCUGCCUGCAAAGGAGCGUGUGGAAAAAUUCUCCUGAAGAGAAAGCUCUUAGCAAUCUUUUUAGAUUAUACAAAAGCAGAGCCUCUACUCUGGAGAUUUUAGAAUUUGAAGUAAAAGCCUGUGGUGUGGACUGAACUACAGAGACUCAAAGGGAAGAGGAUAUGGGACAGAUAUAUACAGUCCUGCUGCUACACACACAGUGCACAUCUGCUGAAGGCUCUGACUAGGAACCAAGUCGAAAAGACAAGGGUAAUGAAGAUGUUGAAAUGCUUUUGCAAGAGGCACAUCAAUUUGUUAAGACCAGAAAGGAACUGCGUGGAACACCACCACAAAGGUUCUGUUGGGUUUUGUUAAAACAUGGAUGUUCAAGGAGAGGGGCUGCUUUGAAAACUUUUUUCCUUGGUGAUAUAGGCACUACCAGAAGAUAGUAGUAGGACCUAGGGAAUGCAGCAAUGCCUUUCUUGUCUGUAUGUAUUAUUUUCAUGGGGGUUUUUUUAUGUGGGGGAGCUACAGGAAAUUUAGUCUGCCUUGAGUUAGUUAAACCAUUUUAGUGUGUUUGUGGGCAGAUGACUGGAGCCAUGUGAAUUUGGGACUUCUUGUGGACACAGUCCUGAAAUUCUGGUGUGGCUCUGGCUCGCCUGUGACCAUCUGCCCAAUCAUGGUGGAAAGGGGCAUCCAGGUACACUCAAGCUUUUCAGUGAGGUGGCAAAAUGUUCUUUGCAGGUGCCCUCCAGGGAAUAGCUGCUCCAGCUGUUGUGUGUUCUGCAGCACAGCCCCAGCAGGAAGAGCAGUACCAUGUCCAGGGCUUCAGAAGCAACAGUUGUAGUUGCCCCUUCUGCCUAUGUGUGAGACCCCUACUGCACAGGGUGUCAGAGCAGAACGAUUUUCUUGGCUGCUGUCAAAACUGUCUCAGCCUGUCCCAUUGCCCAUUUGCAUUUAUAUGUGUGAAGCCAGUGUGUGUGGGUACAGAAAUAAAUGGGCUGAAAUAGAGGAGUCUGAAGAUGAGAGGGAAGGCAGAAAGGAAACUGGAGAAGCAGAGUUGAACUCCCACAAAAGAUUGAUGUUCAGGUUUGAUUUCAAUACAAAAUGGCAUUUAAUGUUUUGAAUAAUUAUAUACAGCUUUGACAUACAUACAAGCUUUGACAUACAUAUAUUUAUAAGCUUCAAUAUACAAGCUGCUUAAAGACCUGAGAGACAUUUUAUUGAAACUGAUUUAAAAGACCCCAAAAAUCUGAAGUGCAUCACUCCUUGAGGGCUGUGCAAUGAGGAACUCCAGUAAAAGCCAGGGAAUGGUGGAGCACUCCAAGCUACCUAAAUGGCGAACAGCCUUCAGAAAACGCUGGUGGGUGAGUACCUCACAGAAAAACACAGGGUGGAGCAAUCAAAAACCACUGUGCAAUAGAGCAUUGGGGAAAAAAAAAAAAAAAACCCAGCAAAAAAAGGACAAAAGGUGAAGUGCUCCAAAAAACCAGCCCUUUCCCUAGGUGGAGAGGUCAAAAACUCCAGGUGAUAGAGAUCUCCGAUAAAAGCAUGGGUGAAGUGCUCUGAAAAAGAGGCACCACGUGGAGAGCUCGAAAAAUCACUGGGGCUGGAGAGCUGCACUAAUCCCCAGGGUGAAUGACUCCUCCAAAAAAAACCCAAUGCUGAGGCAUUCCUCGGGGCCAUUCAGUGAAGCACUGCUGCAGGUUGUUGAGCUGAAACACUUCCUCAUUGGCUGCAAGGUGGUGCGCUCUGCAGGGCUGGAUGGUGAAGCGCUCCUCAGGGACCUUCCAUGAUGUACUUGCUCCUCCGUGGCUGCAAGGUGAAGCAGUCCUAUUCCACUGUAGUAUUGCAUAGUAGUAUUCCAAGAGGAAAAGGUCUCCCAAAAACCGAAAUGCUGAAGUACUCAAAAAAUCCACAGAAUGGAGAGCUCCCAAAAAUCCUCUGGGUGGAAAGCAGCCAAAAAAAUAGUGGGUAGCUCCCAAAAAGCCAAAUGCUGAUGAUCAUCUUGAGGGCCAUGUGCUGAUGUAUUCCUCUGUGUGUCCACACAGUGAAGCAUUCCACAGUUGUGUGGUGGUGUAGUAUUCCAGGAGGGGAAAAAAAUAAAAAAAAUAAAAAAAAACCCCAAAAACAAACAAACAAAAAAAACCCCCCAAAAAAAUCAAAAACCAAAAACCUGAAAGUGCUCCCCAAAACCAAAAUGAUGGAGCACUCAAAAAACAUCCAGGGUGCAAAACUCCCAACAAGCCCAGGGUAGAGAGCACCCAAAAAUCGCCUGGGUCGAGAGGUGCCAGAAAUUAGUAGCUCCCAAAGAACCAAACACUGAUGAACUCCUCAAGGCCACAGGCUGAUGUACCACGUCAAGGCGUUGUGGUGAAGUACUCCAGAAAUGCCAGGCAUUAUGGAAUUGCAAUAAAAAAAAUCAGACCUUGUAGGAAUCCAAAAAAAAUAAGAUGGUGAAGUGCUGAAAAAUGCCCUGGGUAAAGAGGCCCCUAAAAAGCCUUGAGGAUGUGAGCUCUCAAAAUGCUGCUAUGUGGAGAUCUACAAAAAAACCCAAGGGUGAACAGCACUCAAAAAUCCAAAACUUUCCAAAAUUGCCUGGCAUCAAGGAAUACCAGAAAAAACCCAAAUGCUAAAUACUCUCAAGAAAGAAAAAGGUGAAGCACUGCAAAAAUCUCCGGGAUGAAGAGCUCCCAAAAAUCCCCAGGGUGGAGAGCUGCAGGAAAUCAUCUGGGCCAGAGCUGCCAAAAAAUAGUGAGUAGUCCCAAAAAACCAAACGCUGAUGAACUCCUCGAGGCCAUGUGCUGAUGCAACACCUUAAGGCCUUGUGGUGAAGUACUCCAAAAAUGGCAGGCGUUGUGGAAUUCCAGUAAAAAAAAAAAAAAAAAAAAAAA